GCGUGCGCGCUCUCGAUCCGCAUGGACGAGACGUGUACGGAUGCGAUGUGCGGGCGGCGCAUUUCUGGCGAGCGAGCGUCAGCGUCGGUUGUCGAUGGGCGACAAGGACAUGAGGAAGGUAGACUGGCCUCACGGCCGGUUGUUAUAGCCUCUUGUUCGUAUAGCCCGAUGGCGACCGUGGCUCUGCGACGCGUGCCUGGCUGGUGACUCGUACGAUCGGUCCGGCAUGUCGACCGUGGCGGACGGCACGCCUGUGCGCUCAAACUGCUGCCGGUCGAUCGCAUGAUGUUCACACACUACGCGUCUAGGAUGCUGACGGCCAUACGGCUCCAUCCGACCCGUCUUGAAACACGGACCAAGGAGUCUAACAUGUGCGCAAGUCUCCGGGUGAUCGAAACCUGUGGGCACAAUGAAAGUAAAGAUCGUCUUAGACGAUUGAGGUGAGAAGCGAACGCCUCGGUGUUCGCGGCAUCAUCGACCGACCUAUUCUGCUCUCAGAAAGGUUUGAGUAAGAGCGUAUCUGUUGGGACCCGAAAGAUGGUGAACUAUGCCUGAAUAGGGUGAAGCCAGCGGAAACACUGGUGGAAGCUCGUAGCGAUUCUGACGUGCAAAUCGAUCGUCGAAUUUGGGUAUAGCGGC
rnacentral:rRNA from 1 species